ACGCUCGACACCUACGGGAGGCAGCAGUAGGGAAUCUUCCACAAUGGACGCAAGUCUGAUGGAGCAACGCCGCGUGAGUGAAGAAGGUUUUCGGAUCGUAAAGCUCUGUUGUUGGUGAAGAAGGAUAGAGGUAGUAACUGGCCUUUAUUUGACGGUAAUCAACCAGAAAGUCACGGCUAACUACGUGCUAGCAGCCGNGGUAAUCUGAGCGGGCUGGCAAGGC
rnacentral:rRNA from 1 species